GUGCAAUGAUGAUUUAUAAAGUUCUGAACUUAACUGUUGAUUUUAAUCGAGCUUUUUAAAACUGAGCAAG